AGGGAAUAUUGCGCAAUGGACGGAAGUCUGACGCAGCGACGCCGCGUGAGCGAUGAAGGUCUUCGGAUCGUAAAGCUCUGUCCUUGGGGAAGAAGGCGAAAGCUUGACGGUACCCAAGAAGAAAGCCCCGGCUAACUACGUGCCAGCAGCCGCGGUAAUACGUAGGGGGCGAGCGUUGUCCGGAAUUACUGGGCGUAAAGGGUGCGUAGGCGGCCCUGUAAGUCGGAUGUGAAAGCCCGCGGCUUAACCGCGGAAUGGCAUUCGAAACUGGAGGGCUUGAGUGUCGGAGAGGGUAGUGGAAUUCCCAGUGUAGCGGUGAAAUGCGUAGAUAUUGGGAGGAACACCAGUGGCGAAGGCGACUACCUGGACGAUAACUGACGCUGAGGCACGAAAGCUAGGGGAGCAAAC
rnacentral:rRNA from 1 species